GAUGGAUGAACUUGUACCACCUCUGUGGCAGCUCCAUUUAACCAGUGCAAAGACUGGAUAUAACUUAUGCAGGCUGAAAACAACAGCAUUUGGAUUUGAACUUCCAUGAAGAUCGCAGUUUCCUGUCAUCUUCGGACGAGAGUGUCUGUGGAAGCAACAAUGGAAGGUUUCUGUACUUCUGCAGCGUUAAAGAUGCCCCGUCGCCACAGGAAGUCGAGCGUAGCUGGCAGCUGAAAUAAAUGAUGCCGCGGCUUACCUGUCGGGAGGAGUGAUUCGGCGCGUCGGACUGUUGCAUUCGGCACGGUGACAGGCAGGCCCAUCAUGCUCUAGUAAUGGGGUCAAACAGGGAGACGGGGAUUUGAUGCCCGGUGAGGCCACAGGGCUGCGCCCUCGUUGAGCAGUGCGAGCGGCCCGAUUGAGUCAGCCUGACCUGUUUAUUUCCGUGUUUUUCUGCUUCGCUGCAAACCAGUAAUGAUCGCCACACUAUUUGAUUGACAGGGGCUCUCUCCCCUCGCUCGCUCCUGG
ensembl:lncRNA